CACAAUACAUAUUAGAUAAAUUAUUCAAAUAUAGUUUACAAAUGAAUCAAACUAAAAGAUUUCAAAAGAUAUUUGUCUAUCCAAACAAAACAACACUCAUCAUUAAGCGACUUUGGUGUCUCCAUUACCAACUAUAUCAAAAGUAGAAAGAGGAAAACCAUCUUCACCUACAACUCUUCUUCAAUAGGAUCUAAAAUUAUUGAUAAAAGAAAUAAAGACAAAGUACAAAGGGACUAUGAAUCACAUAUCACCAUAAAAUGAGAAUGAUAUAGCUAAGUACUUAAUAUAUUAGGUCCCAUAACACAUACAAAAACAUGUUAACCAUCCUUAAAUUUAUGUCUUCGGUCAUAACCUAUCCAACCAAUGCAUCCCGAACUAUAUGCUAAUUCAUACAUAAGUCAAUCCUAAUACUUUAAUGCUUAUACAAGAUGUAUCUAGAACCAUCAGACUUCUCGUGGAGUCUUUGGAUAGUAUUAAUUGAUUUUAUAGAUAUCUCAUAAAUGAGUAUGAAUCUAUAACUUCUAUGUAAAGAUGUAGCAAAUGACUAAGUGUAGCAAAACUUUCAACCUCAUGUGUCCUGUUAUAAUGACACACAAUAAUGAACUUACAUAUCACAUGUAUGCAACUACAUGAGUUUCUCACUUAAUAUGCUUAUUAAAGUCAUGGAAAUUCAUACUACAAGUAUGACCUUGUCAUUUAUUUUAAUAAAUACAAAACAGAACAUCAAGUGGCAUCAAGAGCUUUGGUUAUUCUUGUUUAAAAGGUGUAAAAAUCACAAGAGUUAUUCCUAAUGGCUAACCCUCAAUCUAAGGGUGCGUAUAAUAGAGUCCUCGUAUUCAAAGGAGAAAAUUAUGGAGUGACUUGGAUAGCCUAUCUAGCCAAUGCAUCACAAACUAUAUGUUAAUUAAGACCCAAACCAAUCCUAAUGUCUUAUCUUGUCAAUGGGAUUUCUACCCAAAGGAAGGAAGAAUGAGGAUGACAUAUGUUUCUUGUCAUAUUAUCCACCGUAACUUGGGUGCUGAAGUGUCAAGCUAAUGACAAUAAAGAAGUGUUUCAUGGGAGGCAACCCAAACAUUUUCCUUAAUUUCUUGAUUUCUUUAUGAUUACUUGUUUUGUUCUAACUUUUAAGUAUGAGAAUUGAAUUGGGAAUGGUAAGUUGAUGUGUUUGACAGGUUGUAAAGUUGAGUCUCACUCUCAACUCAUGGUUUAACAGUGAAGGAAAAGAAGCAGUGCAUGAAUGUUGUAGCAGGCAAAUGUUAUGGAAAACCAAGCUACUGUAGCCUAUAGAUGUUGUGCAAAACCAUAAUAUUGUAGCAUUGCUACAACAUCUGUUAGGGCAAUAUCAUCUUCUUUCUAUAUUCUCUCUAUUACUUUAACUUAAUUGUUAGAUAUUUUCUAGUAUAAUUUAGCGUUAUAUUGCUUUUACUAAAUUCCAUCUCCCUUUUCAAAUUUUAGCAUAAGUAGUGGCAACACUACUUCUACUAUAAGAAUGGGGGAGAGGAUGGUAUUGUUUUUUUAGUCUUAGGAAUGGUUGUUGUGCUUUAAUCUGAAUAAACUCUAAUUUUGUUGGGACCUUAGAUUUGAACUCUAGAAGUUUUUCCACUUUUAGUUAUACUUUUUGUGAAAAGGUUUAAGGUACUCUAGGAUAUAUCAAGACAUAAGCUAUUAAGAAAAUUUUCAAUUGAAUUAAGCAUUUAGCAUAAGAUAUACCAUUUGUUAAUAAUCAGUGUAUGGAAAAAGUGUGACACCUUAGUCAUAUAAGAAAGAAAAGAGAAAAAGAAGACUCACUUCUCUAAAUAGUAAUUGAGUGGUCUUCACACCAUUAUUUGCGUCAAAAGGUAGUGAUAAAAAGUGUUUUAUUGAGUAGUAAUUGAGUGAUCUUCACCCCUUGGCUCAUGUCAAAAGGUG
rnacentral:lncRNA from 1 species